rnacentral:lncRNA from 1 species
UCUAAUUCUGUCUCACUGAGAUUAUGCCCAGAUCUCAUUGACUGGUGUUUGGGGAAUUUCAAAAAUCAUGAGUCAGAAGUUUAAAGAUUAUUAAUAAUCUCUUAGCCUAACUUUAGAGAUGGCUCAUCUCAUUCAUUGUACAUGGAUUUUAUUAUUUAAACUCCCGGGCAAUAACCUACUUUCCAAUUUUGUAAGGGUACUUCUCAGUUGCUAGAUUUAACUAUUACUAGUUCUUACAUAAUCUUAAAACUUGAAAUACUGGAAAAGAGGCUUUAAAGUCAAGAGAUAAAAUCAGUGUUGAGUCUCAAAAAAAUGGGGAAAUAUUUUUUGCAAUCCUGUUGUGGUUCAUAAGCGUGAUAAUUGGGUUUUCACACUAGUACGUGAGAUGCGCAUUGUUAGAACAGUUUGUGGGAGGCACGUCUCACACAAAGUUCGUUGGCACAUUACCCAUCUGACGUGAAACAAAACAAACAAAAAAAGAAAAAAAAAGGAAUAUUUUUGCCAAGGGUGAUUUCAAUAUAUGGAAGAAUUCAGAUGUAGAGGAUUAUAUUAUAUGCACUCUGAAUGGAAAGAGCCCAUGCUUAACAAACUUAGUAAAGAUGUUUAGUAUAGAAACCUGGCUUUUUAGUUCCUUAGGCAAGUUGUUCCAUAAAUCUAAGCUUUAAUAUAUUCUCCUCAAGAUGAGAGCAAGAACAUGGGAAUCAGGCAGAGUGGUAUGUGCACAACAUAUUUCAUUUAUAUGUCAUCAUCAGAAAUUGAAUAAGCACUAAUGUAUGACUGCAUUUCUCAGGAAGCUAUUGAAUAUCCCUUUAAAUUAUAAAAAUAUAUAUUAUGACUGAAAUAUGCUUACAUAAGAAAGCUAUAAUGGCUCUCUUUUUUAAGAUAACAUUUAGAUAUUUUUCUAAUGG